UACGGAGGGUGCAAGCGUUAUCCGGAUUCACUGGGUUUAAAGGGUGCGUAGGUGGGCUUUUAAGUCAGUGGUGAAAUCCCGAAGCUUAACUUCGGAACUGCCAUUGAUACUGAUAGCCUUGAAUAUCCUGGAGGUGGGCGGAAUAUGUCAUGUAGCGGUGAAAUGCUUAGAUAUGACAUAGAACACCAAUUGCGAAGGCAGCUCACUACGGGAUGAUUGACACUGAGGCACGAAAGCGUGGGGAUCAAACAGG
rnacentral:rRNA from 1 species